UGGGUAGGGGAGUCACAUACGGGUUGAAGCAUGACCGUAAGGACAUGUGGACAGUAUGGGAGUGAGAAUGUUGGCAUGAGUAGCGAGAUGUGGGUGAGAAUCCCACAGGCCGUAAACCCAAGGUUGCCAGGGGAAGGUUCGUCCGCCCUGGGUUAGUCGGGACCUAAGCUGAGGCCGAAAGGCGUAGGUGAUGGACAACAGGUUGAUAUUCCUGUACUACCGAUAACCGUUUG
rnacentral:rRNA from 1 species